UACGAAGGGGGCUAGCGUUGUUCGGAAUUACUGGGCGUAAAGCGCACGCAGGCGGAUUGUUAAGUCGAGGGUGAAAUCCUGGAGCUCAACUCCAGAACUGCCUCCGAUACUGGCAAUCUCGAGUCCGGAAGAGGUGAGUGGAAUUCCUAGUGUAGAGGUGGAAUUCGUAGAUAUUAGGAAGAACACCAGUGGCGAAGGCGGCUCACUGGUCCGGUACUGACGCUGAGGUGCGAAAGCGUGGGGAGCAAAC
rnacentral:rRNA from 1 species